CAAAUACUCAAAUGAGAACUUUGAGGACUGAAGUGGGGAAAGGUUCCGUGUGAACAGCAGUUGGACACGGGUUAGUCGAUCCUAAGCCAUAGGGAAGUUCCGUUUCAAAGUGCGCGCUCCGCGCCGAUUGGCGAAAGGGAAGCCGGUUAACAUUCCGGCACCUGGAUGUGGAUUAUCCGCGGCAACGCAACUGAAGGUGGAGACGUCGGCAGGGGCCCCGGGAAGAGUUCUCUUUUCUUCUUAACAGCUCAUCACCCUGAAAUCGGUUUGUCCGGAGCUAGG
rnacentral:rRNA from 1 species